AGUUACAGAGAUGGUUCGUGCUCGAAAGAGAACCUGCACACAGGUGCUGCAUGGCUGUCGUCAGCUCGUGUCGUGAGAUGUUGGGUUAAGUCCCGCAACGAGCGCAACCCUUGCCAUCAGUUGCUACGAAAGGGCACUCUGAUGGGACUGCCGGUGACAAACCGGAGGAAGGUGGGGAUGACGUCAAGUCCUCAUGGCCCUUAUAGGUGGGGCUACACACGUCAUACAAUGGCCGGUACAAAGGGCAGCCAACCCGCGAGGGGGAGCCAAUCCCAUAAAGCCGGUCGUAGUCCGGAUCGCAGUCUGCAACUCGACUGCGUGAAGUCGGAAUCGCUAGUAAUCGUGGAUCAGCAUGUCACGGUGAAUACGUUCCCGGGUCUU
rnacentral:rRNA from 1 species